GAAUAUGAUCUGGCUGUGACAUCCGUCACCCCAUUGAUCGCCAGGGUUGAUCCAGCUGAUCUGGCUGGCUAGAUUUUGAGGCAGUAUUCCCUUCCUCCCUCAUCACUCCAUGUGUUUUACCUCCUGAAAAUGUGAGCUUGGUUGAAGAGGACAACCUCCCUGCUAGAGGAGGACUGGUCUUCUAUCAGGGUAUAUGAGUAGCUGCUCUCCCCUGCUAGAACCUCCAAACAAGCUCUCAAGGUCCUUUCCUUUUUUUCAAGAUUUAUUUGAAAAGCAGAAGGUAGAGUUACAGAGACAGAUCUUCUACCUACUUGUUCACUCCCCAGAUGGACACAGCA
rnacentral:snRNA from 1 species